rnacentral:rRNA from 1 species
UACGGGGGAGCAAGCGUUGUUCGGAUUUACUGGGCGUAAAGGGCGCGUAGGCGGCCACCGCAAGUCGGUUGUGAAAUCUCCGGGCUUAACCCGGAAAGGUCAAUCGAUACUGCGGGGCUAGAGUGCAGAAGGGGCAACUGGAAUUCUCGGUGUAGCGGUGAAAUGCGUAGAUAUCGAGAGGAACACCAGUGGCGAAGGCGGCUCACUGGUCCGGUACUGACGCUGAGGUGCGAAAGCGUGGGGAGCAAACAGG